UACUCGACACCCUCUAUCUCUCGAUAACACCACCUACUUGCAACAUCUUUUCGAAUCAUUGGAGUCGCCGGAGCUCGCGUCAGAAAACUGACCGGAGUUCACCGGAGCCGCCCGAGGUUCACGACGGCAUCACGUCAUCGCCGCAACCUCAUUCGAACCCCUUCACAUUCACCGGAGAAACUCAUACCGCCGCCGGAGAAGCCCGCAAACCAUCGGAACACAACCGCAAGUUCACCGGAACCGGAAUCUACGCCGGAACUCGUUACGACAUCGUUCGUUUCAUAUAGUUCCUUUUUAAUGAAGAAGAGGACCGAAGUCACGACGAAUCCACUUCGAUUCGGGUAAUCACUCUUGUUCGUUCUCUUGGAUUUCCCAAUCUCUACUUGUACGUUACUUACAAGAAAUCGCAACGCAAUCA